CACAACCCACUGGCACUUCAAGACAGUCCAAAGCAUGUUUUGCCUGUUCUAUUGCAAGCUCCAUAUAUGCAAGAGUCUCAGGUGAACACACUUCCCCUUGACCUUGAGAUUCCAUCUAAAAUAUAAGCCCUGAAAGUAAGCGGAAAAAUGUUGCAGUCCAGUGAAGCGAAGGGACGUGGGGAGAUGGGCACAGAGCAAUGUCUAUGUACUUAAAGCAGUGACAUUUUCAGUUUGGAUAGAAGCUCCAACAAAGAAUUUCGAAUCGGAUUUGAUUAUUUAUGGCCGAAAGCUGCACGGGAGAGAUUAACGUCUGUUCUUACUACUAAUAAUAACAAUAAUAAUAAAA
rnacentral:misc_RNA from 1 species